GCUGACGCACACCGCUGUUUGUCUCGCUGCUGGUAAUAGUUUCAAAGAAGAACAUAAAUCUCCAAACCCCUUUUUACUAAACAAUGCUGCAAACACGACUGAGACUCUGUUUGGAUUUUUUGUCUCAGACGUUGAUCUUCGCUUUGCUUUUAAAAGAAGAUGCUAGAUGUGAUGUCGUGUUUCUUCCUUCAGUCCAGGUUGUAUCUGGCCCAAGAGCGUCUGCCUUUCUGGUUGGAAACGUGAUGAACGUGUCUCUGACCAUCAGCAGCGUCAAACCAUCCAAUGCUACAGGACGCCUCCCUCCAGCCUCCUGCGAGCCGUCCAGUCUCAGUCAAUGGACUGUGUCACAAGAGAUGAUGGGAAAGAGCAGCCUGGUGCGUGUGAGUCUGAACCGGAGUCUACAGCUGUGUGCCAGCGCGAAUGAGACAGACUGCUGUGUCCAGCCGCUGUGUGUGAGAGAGACUGUCAGGGUUUGUGCAUGUCUGGGCAAUGUUCCCCAGGCCACUCUCAUCGUGCAGGCUCAGAUCUACGCCCAGCUGCUUCCCAGUGGCCCUGUGUCAGAGAAUAAAACUGUGAUUCCUAAUCAAGUGUUCCAGCCUCUUGGUCAGUGUCCCUGUGACCUGACGGCGAAAUCGUGUGACGUGCGAUGCUGCUGUGACCCGGAUUGUGCACCAGAGCUGUUGUGGCUUUUUGCGGGUCAGUGUCUACCUGGACCAUUUGGAGGAAUUGUCUCUCCUUUUCCUGAUUAUGCCUGCUCCGCUCAGUCGGCUGAAAAUGCUCCUGAUUGGUUCCCUUUUCUCUGUGUCACCUCUCCUUCGGAGAACAACCCGUUCCUUGGGCUUUUCUAUGAUGGCACUACUGUCACUCCGAAGCCCACUCUGUCUUUCCAGACUCAACAGGUGGCAGCGCCUGUACCUCCUACAAAUUACCGCCAGGGGGCACCAAUCUUCACCACAGACAACCAGUACUUCACCAUCCCACAGGUGUCCUUGCUGGGGCAGUGCAUUGAGAAGGCUCCGGUAGCGUUCCUGCAGAACUUUGAGGCCGUGUGUGUGAGAACUCUGCAGUCCUGCCCUGCUACACCAGUUGAGCUCAGCGUAGCAGUGAGAGAUGAACAAGGAGGAGUAGUCACAGUAGCCAUCGUGGAUGAAGUGAUCACAGACCUCAGCCUUUUCUUAUCAAGUCCUGCUAAUCCCGCAGCUGAGACACAGUUGUGUGUGAAUGUGGUUCUGUCUUUAAGUUAUACGUUUCAGUGGAAGGGGAACGGCAUUACAGCCAUCAGUGUUAUCCGCCGCAUUGGAAACAUCACCUUCAGUCCUGGAGUGACGCUGACGACCCGAUACUCUGCAGUGUUUGUGAAUGGAAAUAUCACAGCUCAGCCUAACUCGGGCAACCCAGGUUAUCAGGUGGGAAGGCCUGUGAUCGGUGGAGUUUCGGAUGAUGCUACAGGACCUGUAGGGAGAACACCAAUCAGACUCUGGCAAGGAGUGAGAGAUGGCCUGUGCUCCUCCGCUGACCUGAGACCAGUUCUCUAUGGAAUAAACUCAACGUCUGGGUGUCUGAUGCCUGUAACUUUGCUUAAUCUCAACCAGUGCAGCAAGCUCAGAGAAACUGUCCGCUCCACGUUGGCUGCUUUAGUCCCUGCUACAUUGGUUUCCAGAACAGGAAAGCCAGAUUUCUCCACAGUGACCAGCUGGACCCGCAUCACUACUGUAGUACAGAACACUAAUCAGACAGCGGGGGGCUCCGGGGGCGUGUGCUCUGGUGUUCCAGCUCACCUACACAUUCACAUUCGAAGCGUUGUCAUGGGAACCAUAGGUGGGGUACCACAAAAAACGAUCCAGGCUGUGGAGUUAAAUUUUAAGGCAUCUACGUGGAGUUUAGAGUGUGAUGCAGGUCAGGGAACCAUCUGCAUGACCCCAGACCUGACACAGACUUUCCCUGUGACCUCUUCUGUGACCUUUACCGAGGCUCCCAUCGGCACACAAUCCCCCAUGUCCAGCUAACUGAAAAUAUCAAGUAUUGGAAUUUAUACCGUGGAGAAUGAUUUAAAGUAUAGGAAGACUCCGGAUCCAUCGUGUCUCUGACCACCUAUAUAUCCCAUCUUGGCUUGCUUUGUAUAUGGACUAGAAGGAUAACUUAAUUUAGCACUUUGUUAUAGUGACAAAAUGCGGGAUCAUGGGUAAUUUAGUGAGGUGAGAUGUACUGUAUGGUGGAAAAGAGUUGCUUUUUAUUUUUUUAAACAGGUACCUUCAUAGUACCUGUUAAAAAAAAAAGUUCAGUGCCUGAUGAGACAGCAUUAGGCAACAAGGCAUCACACUGUAACUCCCAUUUGUUUCAAACACACCUUUUAGUCUAUUUAGAUAUCUGUCCACUCAGUGUGUAGGUUUUGAGAUGUAAUUGAUUACCCCAGGGCUGGUUGCUCUUCACUGUCUUUGGAUUAUCUCUCUGUCUUUGUCCGUCUGAGCCUUUUGGAGUAGCAGCUGUGGAACGUUUCUCGAUUACUGUAUUGGACUUUGUUUGCUUGGAACUUGAUCGCUGUAAUUAUUUCGGUGCACACUCCUGCACAUGGAGCCUCACAGCACUGCUGAGUCAGCUUCCUCUCUUCCUGGAAUUUCAGACCUAAUCCAGUUCUCCAAAGCUGUCUUAAAUAGUCAUACAAAUAUAUAAAUAUUUGUAAUGCUGACUGAAAGGCAAAUCAGGGGUAUAUAAUCAUUAGUAUUAAUGUAUUUGUUCUAAUACAUUAUCGUUUCUAUAGUAACAAGUAAUUCAGGUUGAUGUGUAUUGUUCUCUUUGUAUGACUAAGAUUUAUGAUCAAGAUUUCUGUAAGAAGAAUGUUUGUUUAAAUCAAUGAUGUCAAGCCGUCCUGGACCGAUUGCAGCAAAACAGGCCCAAACCAUGGUACUACCACCACCACGUUUCACAGACGGGAUAAGGUUCUCAUGCUGGAAUGCAGUGUUUUCCUUUCUCCUAAAAUAACGCUUCUCAUUUAAACCACAAAGUUCUAUUUUGGUCUCAUACAUCCACAAAACAUUUUCCCAAUAGCUUCCUGGCUUGCCAAUGUGAUCUUUUUGAAGAUCAGUAAUAAACUGCUAAUCCUAGAUGUUCACAUACUUUUGCCACUCACAGAUAUGUAAUAUUGGAUCAUUUUCCUCAAUAAAUAAAUGACCAAGUAUACUAUUUUGUCUCAUUUGUUUAAUUGGGUUCUCUUUGUCUACUUUUAGGACUGAUAUUAUGUUCUAGGUCAUAUUUAUGCACCUAUAUAGAACUACCCGUGCAUUCAGCGGUUCAAAUGCCCACCUUCCAGCCGAUCAGAAUCCAGUAUUCAGACAGACCAUGGUGUAAUCGUAUUCCACAGCAUUAAAUGUGACCUAUAAAUGUAUUUUUUUUUUUAAGAGUACAUGUUUUUUUUUUCCUUCUAACAAGGAUAAAUAUGAAGGUUUGUAUGGUAUAAGCAGAAUUCCACUAUGUGCACUUCUAAUAAAAUAAUCACCUCUGGAGUCCUUACGUGACAUCUGAAAUGGUUUAAGUCAUUUUGUGCCUUAGUUCCUCACUUUGUGGAUGGGUCUAAGGUAAAUGGCAACUAUUGAAUAUUCAUUAUAAUAUACAGAGUAAACAAAUAAUCUGCAGUCAUUUUCUUCUGUUAUUUCUCCACUUCAGGUUUCGCAUUAACUUUACAGAGUUUGACUGUGACAGGAAUGAUGUGUGCUGGCCUGAGCUUGCCUUCCCCCUCACACCUUAUUACACUGGUGAGCCAUAUUCUCAGGCUCUGGCUAAAGGACUCAUCCUUGUCUUCUUCUUUAUCGCCG